rnacentral:rRNA from 1 species
AACGAACGCUGGCGGCACGCCUAACACAUGCAAGUCGAACGAGACCUUCGGGUCUAGUGGCGCACGGGUGCGUAACGCGUGGGAACCUGCCCUUAGGUUCGGAAUAACUCCCCGAAAGGGGUGCUAAUACCGGAUAAUGUCUUCGGACCAAAGAUUUAUCGCCUUUGGAUGGGCCCGCGUUGGAUUAGCUAGUUGGUAGGGUAAAAGCCUACCAAGGCGACGAUCCAUAGCUGGUCUGAGAGGAUGAUCAGCCACACUGGGACUGAGACACGGCCCAGACUCCUACGGGAGGCAGCAGUGGGGAAUAUUGGACAAUGGGCGAAAGCCUGAUCCAGCAAUGCCGCGGGAGUGAUGAAGGCCUUAGGGUUGUAAAGCUCUUUUACCCGGGAUGAUAAUGACAGUACCGGGAGAAUAAGCUCCGGCUAACUCCGUG